CUCUCUAUGUGCCUGUGUGUGUCUCUCUCUGUGUGUCUCUGUGUCUCUCUCUUUGUGUCUCUCUGUCUCUGUCUCUCUGUCUCUCUCUGUCUCUGUCUUUGUCUCUCUCUCUGUGUGUGUCUCUCUCUGUGUCUGUGUGUGUGUGUGUGUCUCUCUCUAUGUGUCUGUGUAUCUCUCUCUGUGUGUCUCUGUGUCUCUCUGUCUGUCUGUCUGUCUCUCUCUCUCUCUUUUUCUCUCUCUCCUCCUUCUCCUCCUCUUGUUCUCUCUCUCCCAAGUUCCUAUACAAAUUGCCUACUAAAAUCAUAAGAUCAUAUAUUGCAUUAGAGCUGGGAGGGGCAUUAGAGACCUCACAUCCAAACAUCCCAUCAUUUUACAGUGGAGAAAACUGGGGUUUAGGGAAGUUAUGUAAUUUGCCCAAGAUGCCACUGCUAGUAUGUGACAGAACUGAGUUUUAAACUUUGUGCUAUCAAACCCAGGACUUUUGCUCUUAUCACAAGUGAUGAUGACAAUGGUUUCAAUAUCUUUCCUACCUGAACUCCAUCAUAAACAACAUGAAAAGAAUGUUCAUUUUUCUAUGAUAGGGACAAGGACUGGACAUGUGACAGAUAGGGAUAAUGAGGAAUUUUCCUGUAUUCCUGUAGAUCAUCACCCCCACCUAAUAAUCCCCACCGCCAAUAAUAGCAGAUAUUGACAUAGUGUUUAAGGACUCAGAAGGCUUUCCGUGCUGGCUCCUUCAUAGAGAGGCAUCUUAGCAAACUGGAUGAUGAGGGAGCAGAUCUUGGAGAUGCAAAAAUCUAGGUUAGUCUCAUCUGAGGCUAUAAAUUGUAGCGCUGGUGCUGACCUGCAUUAGCAAAAGAUUCUUCCUUCCCAGGAAUUCCUUCCACCCAUAAAAUCACAUAACUCAUUCAUUUUAAGGCGUAUUGCGUCUCUCAAUGAUAACUGCAUUUUAGCAAUGGACAAGAAUUGAUUUCUAAUUGUGGGUUUCAAGCUUGGGGGAAGAGUAUCCGGAGGGCACGGACCAUGUUGGUACUCCCACCAAGGGAGCUUCCUUCCUCCUUUGAGUAAUGCUGCUCUGUGGUCGUGUGUGUCCAGGGAAGGAGAAUAUGAGGGUCUCUUCAGACUCAAGAACUAAUGAUUCAGUGAACGUGUUAUGGUCCCACACAAAAUGUGCGUGAGGCACUGGGGCCCGAAGCCGCAGGAAAAACCUCGCUUUAAGUGGAGAGUGACUCAGGAGAAAGAGGAGGAGGAGAACCUGGAGGAGGAACAGAACAAAAGCCAACCGCAACUGAAAGGAGAGCGGCUGCCAGAGUCUGCACAGCAACAGCCUGCAGCAAUCCCCUCCCCUUGCUUGCCAGCGCGGGGCGCGGGGCGCGGGGCGCGGGGCGGGCAUCCUCUCCACACCUCCUUCUCCUCCUCCUUUUCCCUCCCACCACCGCUCUCUCGCCCCCUUCUCUCUCCUCCCUAUUUCCUUCCCUCUUCCCUCCUCCCUCUCCUCUCCUCUCUACACCCCCGCUAGCUUCCCCCUCUGCUCUCCGCACCACAACCCCCUCACCUCCACCCCGACCCUACUAAGCCCAGCCCCCGCGAUCCCCUCCCCCUAGGCUGGGCGCUGGGGAACCCAGUUGCUCUCCUCUAGUUUUGGGUGCGUCUUCCUAUUCCUUUGUUUUCCAGCACACCGCAAAACCCAAGGCUGUUCCCUGGUGGUCCAGCCCGGGCCGCGGCGCUUCUGCAGGCUGGAGGGAUCUCGAAGCCAGCGGCAGCCCGACCUGAUUCACCGUGCUUAAGAAUUCAAUUGACCUACUGAGAAGCUUCCCUACCACGGGUCACUCUGGAGAGGCGUAUAUCACAAGACAUCCUCUUCUUCCUCAUUCACAUAUCUGUAGCACUUUCAGGCUUACAAAGCCCUUUCCUCCCAAUCUCCCUGAGAGAGCAUCUUCCUGUUUCUCAGUCUAUCAUUCCAUUGGCUCUGCCUGAGCUGCAGCAAAGGCAAGACAUCACAGGGGGCCUCCUUACCAGAGUGGGGUGCCUCAAUCCAGGCACACAAAGAACAACAGGGGAGCCAGAUGCCUUUGCCAGAUAAAAAGAAAAUGGAAGAUAACUUCAGAGAGAAAAUUCAUGUAUAUGAAAGCUCUGGAAAGGUCUCUUGCAUAAGGCGGCAUCUGAGCUGAGUCUUGAAGGAAGCCAGGUAUUCUAACAGGCAACCUGAGAAAACUGAGAUCAAGAGAUCAAGGUCACAGAACUGGUACAAGGCAGAACUAGCCCCCGGAGCCAGGUCUUCUAAUUCCAGAUCCAGAAGUCUUACUCCUUCUCUCUCCUCACCCCACCCCCACCACCCAGUACUACUGAUGUUAUAAAGGAAAGACAUUGGUCAGCUGCAAAGUAUUUUUAUCACUGUGAGCUUUUAUUAUAAAGGAACUCUUAUUAGAAAAGAAAUGUUGCCAGUUCUUUCUCAUUAAUCUUUAAUAUAGCCUUUCUACUCCAGCCAAGCCAGUUUGCUUGUCAGCAUGCAAAGGCAACUUGCUAAGACCUGUUUCUUUGUUGAGGUUCUAUAAAAUGGUCUUUUAGACUUAAAGCAAAACAAAAUUGCAUUACCACAAAAGAUACAUGAGAUGCACAAAUUUAGAGACAUUUCUACUCCAAAUGUCCAUGUGGACUAUCUGUAUUGGACCUGUGAUAGAACCUUCCAAGCUUGUAUUGGUCUGAUCAACAACUGGACACACUGUUC